ACGUAGGGUGCGAGCGUUAAUCGGAAUUACUGGGCGUAAAGCGUGCGCAGGCGGUCUGCUAAGAGAGAUGUGAAAGCCCCGGGCUUAACCUGGGAACUGCGUUUCUAACUGGCAGGCUUGAGUGUGGCAGAGGGGGAUGGAAUUCCGCGUGUAGCAGUGAAAUGCGUAGAUAUCUGGAGGAAUACCGGUGGCGAAGGCGGCAUCCUGGACCAUUACUGACGCUGAUGCGCGAAAGCUAGGGGAGCAAACGGGA
rnacentral:rRNA from 1 species